rnacentral:rRNA from 1 species
UACAGAGGUCUCAAGCGUUGUUCGGAUUCAUUGGGCGUAAAGGGUGUGUAGGUGGCGCCGUAAGUCGGGUGUGAAAUUUCGGAGCUUAACUCCGAAACUGCAUUCGAUACUGCGGUGCUUGAGGACUGGAGAGGAGACUGGAAUUUACGGUGUAGCGGUGAAAUGCGUAGAUAUCGUAAGGAAGACCAGUGGCGAAGGCGGGUCUCUGGACAGUUCCUGACGCUGAGGCACGAAGGCCCAGGGGAGCAAACGGG